rnacentral:lncRNA from 1 species
GAGCCCGCACUCCCCAGGGCCCGCGAGCAGCAACCGAGCCUGCACUCCCAGGGACCGCAAGCCGCGGCAACUGAGCCUGCACUCCCAAGGCCCACGAGCCUUGGCGACUGAGCCCGCACUCUCCCGGGACCGCGAGCCGCGGCGACUGAGCCCACUCCCCAGGGCCCGCGAGCCGCAGCAACUGAGCCGGCACUCCCCGGGACCGCGCGCCGUGGCGACUGAGCCUGCGCGCCCGGAGCCUGUGAGCAGCAGCGAGAGAAGCCGCUGCAGUGAGAAGCCCGCGCACCUAGAGAAAGCCCGCACAAAGCAACGAAGACUCGCGCGAUAAAUUAACCAAUCCAGAAAAAAGCUUCUGUAAGAGGAGGACUGAUAAACUUUUUUUUUUUUUUUUAUCAGAGCACGCCUUCAGGCAGCUUUUCUCAAAGCAUGGUUCCAGAGGCCACACAGCUUCACAGUGAAAGGCUGCGGGGGCUCCCCGGGCCGUGGGCUGGGCGCGGGCACCGCAGACUAACCGCAGACGCUGUGGUGAGAGCCGGGCCUCCGCAGAGCUGGGCCUUCAGGAGGUUUACAAAUAUGUCCUCACUGUUUUUGUGGGGGAGAAUACCGUCACUUUUCAUGAACAUCUGUUAUACGUGUUAACAUGGAAUGGGUCUAUGAUUGUUGUUAUUAGAUGAGUUAGUAGGUGGACUUUUUCUGCAUUUCUCCAUUUUAUCUGUAACACAGUGAGUACUGGCAGGUGUGACUCACACAGAUAUCUUUGGAUACUUGAUUUCCAGGAGUAUAAGGGUUCCAAGAACCAAAGAGUUUGAGAACUGCUGCCUCAAGGAAGUGAGACCUCACGUUCCACAGUGAACACGACAUCUGCAAUCCUGACAAAAUGGAGGAAAAUACGGGGAGAAAAGUGGAACAACUGGAGAGAGAUGGGCCUGCCGGGCCCCACCCCACCUACAGGACCAUCGUCCGGGGCCACCCCAGGGAGGCAGGCCUGUGGAGAUGCUGGACUCUCCAAGCGGGCGGAGCGUGCCCCUGGGCCCUCCCGGCUCUGCAGUGACCGGGCUGGGAGCUCGUGCUGGACACUCCGAGGCCGCGCAGAGCAGCACUGGCCCCAGCAGUCCCGCCCCCCGCCCAACAAAGGAUGUGAUGCCCAGGGCAGAAAAGGAAGUUCCAGGGGCUGAGAUGCAGCGGGAGGCUCUUUUCAGGAAGCUGAACUGGCACAGGUGGGCCCUCCCCUCUCUGGGUCUCCACCCAGGGGUUCCCUUGCGGGGCAGGGCCUGGUGGCCUCGGUGACCUUGGCCCGAGUGUCCUUGGCAUGGCCGGCCGCGGCUCACACUCGUGGGGGAUUCUCUGGGCCACAAGCCUCCCACGAGCGGCCCCGCCACUCUUUCAGAGGAACUGUGACUCCCGCCAGCCACCACUGGUAAUUUUAGGCACUUUUAACAUCUUAAAUAUAGUCAGUUCACACUCAGACAACAUGCCAGGCGCGCAGUGAGGAGCCGGCAGCCAGACGUAUGCUGUCGCUGGAGCCCAGCAGCAGGGUGAGAGUGCCCCACGCAGCCCCUCUGGGGGGACCCCGGUGCUCGAGCAGGGGGCCAGGUGCUGGCCUCCUUGCUGCCACUUACCUCAAAGGUGUUCCCCGUCACAUCAAACUCUGGGGGCACAAAAGCUCCCUCAGGGUCAUCUGGGGAGAGAAGAGAAGAUGCCAUUCACAUGGUGACCCCCGAACACAGGUCAGGUGAGACAGGCUGCCAGGCUCUUCCCGGCUGGAGGGCUACGUGCACCUGGGGCCCAGCCAGGACCACCCACCAGCGAGGCCCAGUCCCCAGCCUCCCCUCACCCAGGCCCAGGCAGGUUGCCGUGGAAACCCGGCUCCAGACCACUGCGCCUAGGGUGGAGGCCACACCCUCGCGGGCCCCUCUGUGUUCACAUUUGCCACGCGGGCCUCACCGCUGAGCUGCUCCAUGAAGCACACGUUCCCGCUGGUGUUGAAGGCCAGCGUGUCGGGCGUGAUGCACAGGGUCUGGAAGAUGGCCGAGUGGGCGACACUGCGCAUUGCCAGGCUGCACUCCAGGCACACAGCCCAGGCCUCCUGCUCGCUCAGGCCGCUGUCCCGCAGGGAGAGGAUGUCGGCCAGGGACACGUUCUCCUGCCGAGACAGCCUGGGCUGAGCCCUGGGCGCCUGUGGAGGGGCAGGGGGGCUGGGGACAAGACCCCGCGGCCGCCCCGCAUCUGGAACUG